GCGGAUUUUUUGCGUUUGUAAACAAACCAACGUGGUAUCCGAGCAACCGAUAGAGACUUUUUUGAAGCAAAUAUUGUUUAAUUAAAGAUAUAAAAUAUGAAAAGGAAUCAGAAUUAUCCACCAAUUAUUUCGUCAUCUGAAAUAAAUUCAUCAUCUAUGUAUAUUUAUAAGAAAUUAAGGAGAAAUGAUGAAUAUCCUCCUCUUCUUCAAAGUCAAUCAUUGACACUAGCAGUACCAUUUAAAGAACAAAACUUCCAUCGACCUCCAAGUGAAAGAAUUGGAAAUAACUAUUCUCCUUUAGCUAAAGAAUUAAAAAUUCCACUUCUAAGAAAACAUAAAAAAUUGUGUAUCCUUUUUUUUAAAAUUUAUUAUUGAUAAUAACAAAACUUAGUUAAAUUAAUAAAUUAAAACUAAAAGAAAUGAAAAUAUCAUGAUUUUAAUACACCAAUGAUUUAUUUAGCUGUGCAUAAGUGUAUUUUAACUAUAGAAAUUGAGACAAAACUAAUACAUAAAUAAAUAAACAAGAUGUCUGCUUAAUUCAGAAGGCAAAAACCUUAAUAAAUGAACAUUUUAAAUUAAUUACAUGACUGUUCUCAGCAUAUAAAGAUUCAUUCAACAGAAUAGAAUGUUGCAGAAUAAAAUUAUAGUAUAUUCUAA